rnacentral:lncRNA from 1 species
GACUGGAUUAUUAGGUUAAAAGUACAUGUGAAAAUUGGAAAGACGUCAAAACAUGAAUUGGCGGUGCAAUAGCAGAACAUACUAUGGAAAUGAGGAGUUGAAUUUUUUCUUUCCUAAUUUAUAGCUUUAAGUCGUGAAUAUAGGUUUGAACUCAGAACUAAGAUUAAUCACAGGGCGGCGGAUCAUCGUGUUAGAAAUGUUAAGAACUAUUUUCUCCUGCAUUUAAGGUUCAACUUUUCAUUUAAUUGCAACAGCAAUAAUAGAAUGGUUUAUGAGAUUGUUGGUCUUUAGGAUCCGUCGGUUCUGGUUAAGGAUAAAGCAUACUCAACCUUAUUUAUACCAGACAUGGAUUUCAAGAAGAUACAACUCAACACUAGAACAACUAUUGUGGUUGGAAUCUCCUUUCCUAGAUCUUAUUUGAUGAAAACGAAACGAUAACCCUUUUUUGCAGAAAUGAAAAAAAGCAAAAAACAGAAAAGAAUUAGUAGACCUUGUUAAGCAUUUACCUCCGCGGCUUCGUCAACUCCGAGCGAGGUACUAGCAGCAUAACUUUCGUGAACUUCAGAAGGUGAAAUUUCUACAGCAUCCACUCUUGUGAAUGCUGUCAAUCCUGGCACUAAAAUGGCUUCGUCAACUCCGAGCGAGGUACUAGCAGCAUAACUUUCAUGAACUUCAGAAGGUGAAAUUUCUACAGCAUCCACUGUUGUGAAUGCUGUCAAUCCCGGCACUAAAAUAGGAUCACCUUCGUGGAAAACCGGGUUUGCCUCGUCUUUUUUGCUAGUGGAACUCUUCAGAUUCACGGCACUGCCAUUAUUUCCAACGACAUUC